rnacentral:rRNA from 1 species
UACGUAGGGUGCAAGCGUUAAUCGGAAUUACUGGGCGUAAAGCGUGCGCAGGCGGUUCUGUAAGUCUGUCGUGAAAUCCCCGGGCUUAACCUGGGAAUUGCGAUGGAGACUGCAAGGCUAGAAUCUGGCAGAGGGGGGUAGAAUUCCACGUGUAGCAGUGAAAUGCGUAGAUAUCGGAAGGAACACCAGUGGCGAAAGCGGCUUCCUGGUCCAGCACCGACGUUCAGGCACGAAAGCGUGGGGAGCAAACAGG